UAUUGAUUGGUCACUUUGCGGAAUGACGCGAGCGCUGGUUGCACGCGAGUGGACGGCGCUGCCGCUGACGGCAUCCCCUUUGCCCGCGCGCCUGCCUAUCAGCUGCCGGGGAGGUUGGAACGGCGAGCGGUUGGUGGCCGUGCUCGCGGCGGCGCGCGGACGCGGCGGUUGUCAGGAGCGGCGUCUGAGCGCGGGAAGCUUUUGCUUCCCAGCGGCUCGAGCGGCAGCGGUGACCCGCACCCCCCACCCUCUGUGUUUCUCGCUCUCACUCUCACUCACAGCGAACAUUGAUUCUUCCAAGUGUGCCAUUAUUUUCCUUUCCAUCAAACGGUCAGGUUAAUGCCGCAGAUCGGUUGCUGUGCAGAUCGAUCUUUGGUGCAGAGCAUCCCGUGUUUCCCAAGAUUUGCAACUCUGUGAUUUUGCAAUCUCAAGGAGUCGAGAGGAACCUUUCCCAGCUUCUUUGAACAAAGUGUGACUAGUUCUGCAAAAUUACCCAGAUUAUGCAAUUCAUUUUUAAUUCAAACUGUGUGGGCAGUGAGGACAGUAAAUACGAUUUAGGAUUGCACAUUAGAAAAGUAUUUCAUUGCGUUCUUAAUGCCCCAAAACAUUAGUGACAUUUAAUUCUGAAAUUUCCCAAAAAAGUAGGGGACUCCUCUUUAACUACUCAUUACAUCCCAAUUGCAAACAUGUGGGCUGCACUUGUGUUGCUGGUCAAACCUCAAGACUGGGCGAAUUUUGGGACAUCAUCACGUAGAAACAUGGCAGGAAAAGAUCGCCUGCCCCUGGACCACGCACUUUUUAUUCAUCAUGCAUCUUCCACCAGGAACUCGGCUCCUAGCACUGGCAUGACCGAGUGCAACAUUUGGAUUAUUUCAAUGCAGCCAGCCUGUUGCAUUUGUUGGAUCAACAAAAAGACCAUUAAGGUCUGAUCCCUGGCUUACGGACUAACAGUGCCUUGUAAAUUCAAUUACAGUUGUAAAUCUAUUAUAUAAUUAAAUAUUGCACUUGUUUAACAUUUUGUACAGUAAUUAUUCUGACAGUAGUUAAAAAAGAAACGAUCAUUAUAAAAAAGUGCACAUUUACGUUUUCUUGGCAGUUGAUGUCUCCCAAUCAUUUGAAUGGGGAUUGCAUUACCUAUUUUAAGUUUAAAUUGGCACUGGGUCAGCUUGGCAGACUUCCGCACAUGAAUGCAGGGAAGCCUCUGGAAGUUUGUGUUGACCCAUUGGAAUUGUAUUGUAGUCUACAGCAGAGAAGUAGUCUUACUCAACAGUGAAAAGCAGAACACUCUUCUGUCAUAUUAAGUCUCUACCAGUACUGAAAUAUUAAUGCGCGAAUAUGUCGGUAAGACUUAAUUUUAGAAUUUGCAUCAAUAUUAAAUCCCCAUUUUAAUGUGAUGUUGUAGUAUUGGCAUUCUUUUUUUCAAGAUCAGAAUGUGUAGCACCUAGGUUAGAUCAUUGCAAUUUUCAGACCACAGUUGAUAUUUUCAGUUGUAUCCUUGGCAUUGCUGGAACUAUUCAACGUGUACAUAAAGUUUCAUGAUAAAUUAAGGGACAGUAAAUCAUUCUCAUUUAUUUACCUGAAAACCUGUGAUGGUAUUUGUGACAUUCAUUAUAACUGUUCUAAUUGAUGUGAUCUCAUUUUGAAAUGCAAUGUUAAACAAUUAUUUUGUGUUCCCAAUUGUUUUUAAUGAAGGUCUGAUUGUUAAAUUUUAAAGUGAUUAAAAUUAUUUUAAAUUAAAAUUGUUUGAUUAUGUAGCAUUUAUUCAGCUAAUAGAAUAUUUGACCCAUUAAACGUCAACUCUUUCAAAGAUCAAUCGUUAGACUUGCUUAUUUGCUCUUUACAUAUUUCCACCGUUUAAUUUUAGAUUUAACAAAAAUGUAAUUUUUUGUCCAGGAGAUGCAAUCUUUUUUUUUCUUUUACACCUUCCAGAGAGCCCUGGGCACUAUUUUCUACUGAAACAGAGGUUUACUAUUUUCAAUACAAUGUAUUAUAUCUGAAGCUCCCAACACUACAUUGGGGAGACCGUUUAGACAAAUUCCGUCCACAAAAAUAAUUAUGAGUCUCUUGUUGUCUAUCUCUUUAAUUUUCCAUCCCCUUCCUAUUCUAAGCUAUCUACUGUCAAUCUUCUGCGUUGUUGUUAUACAAGAAUUUUGCCCGAACAGCUUGUGACCCAUAACGCUGCGUCCAGCAAGGCAAUAUUUGCAACCCAUAGCACUGCAGACGAUGUUAAAAUUCCCAUGCGCUAAGACGACAAUGCUCUGUUUAAACCUUUGCACGCCAACCAGCAGCAGUGUGUAUGCUUUGCGUGCCAAGUCUGCAGCGCCGUGUGUCUUGAUUUGCGCGGCGAGUCUGUAGCACUGUGUAUUGCUUUACGUGCCAGUCUGCGGCUGGUUGUGCUUUGUGGGGGGGGGGGGUCUCGCACGGAUGCUGUCCCCUGCCAUUGGUUAUAGUUUGAAUUUGGGAGCAGCACUAUUGGCCAGGACUUACUGGUGGAUAUUUCAACGGUUGAUUUCUUACCUGUAUAAUAGGUGCCAGGAAGCCAUAAGUUUGUUUUUGAACGAGAAGGGUUCAUCGAUGGGAUGAGUCACGAUCAGCGCCGCGGACGGAGGCAAAGAGGUGUCCUGCUGUAAAACUGACCCUGCGCAUACCACGACAAGUAUUGUUUUUGUUCUCUCUUGCCAAUAAAACUGAUUUGUAACUAAACAGACGAAUGAGAUUUUUUCUGUUAUACUAGUCAGAUCUUCGAACCUGUUCCCUUGUAACAUUUGGUGUAGUCGGCAGGAUCUGACGAAUAGAAUAGAAAAUGUUUGAUAAAAAUAAAUAGCAAACAAGUUGGCUCUGGUAAGGCCAAGCACCCUUGCAACAAGCUGCUGCCCUCGGUGCAGGGGAGCCCGCAGCAGGCCGUGCUGCAGGUGUGAAGAAGAACCUUGAGUUUUCAAGCUCCUGUAAUGCUUUUAACGGAUCACGAGGGAGAAGUUUAUUGUUGUAAAUUUCACUCAAAUGGAUCAUCACUGGCAUCUGCAGGAUUUGAUCGACGUAUUGUCUGGAAUAGAUAUGGCGACUGUAAUAAUUGUGCUACAUUGGAAGGUCACAGUGGAGCAGUGAUGGAAUUGCAUUAUAACACAGCUGGCAGCAUGUUAUCCAGCCUGACGGGGACCACAGUUGGUCUGUACAGGAAGCGACGAUGAAACAGUGAAGCUCUGGGACAUUCGGAAGAAGGUUGCAAUCCAUACAUUUCAAAACACGUACCAAUUACUGGCAGCAACGUUUAAUGACACAAGCGAUCAGAUUAUCUCUGGUGGUAUUGAUGAUGGCAUUGAGAUUUGGGACCUCCGACAAACCAAGUUAAUUUGGACCAUGCGUGGUCAUACAGACUCGGUGACUGGUUUGACCCUGAGUGGGGUAAAAGAGAACAUCACCAACUUCGCUGACCACAUAGAUUAGAAGGGUCGGAGAACAGUACGACUACGAUCCCUCGGGAGGAUGGUGGACAACAGUGGUGCACUGGGGACUGACCAUUGAGACAAUCUUAUUAGCCAUAAUAUUACAACGUUGUAUGUACGGAUUGGCAUCACGACCACGUAGGCCGGAUGUAACAAGGUAACGCCUGCGGGCCGGAUGUGACGGUAACCAGACUGUUCGAGGGAUUGAAUGUUAUACGAGAAUUUUUCCCGAACUGUCUGUGACCCAUAACGCUGUGGUCGCUAGCGCUAUAUUUAAAGUCCAUAGCGCUGCGGGCGAUAGUGCUAUAUUUAGAACCCAUAGCGCUGCAACCGACAGCUUUUUGUUUAAAUUCCCACACGCUAUGCCGGCAGUGCUCUGUUUCAACCUUUGCGCGCCAAACCGGCAGCGCUGUGUGUAUUGCUUUGCAUGCCAAGUCUGUAGCGCUGUGUAUUGCUUUCCACGCCAUUCUGUGCCUGAUAGCACUUUGUUCCAAAAGGGAGGUGGUCUCGCUCGAAUGCAGUCCCCUGUCAUUGGUUAUAAUUUGAAUAUGGGAGAAGCGCUAUUGGCAGGGUCUUAUAGCCAGUAAGCCAUAAGUUCAUUUUUGUAUGAGUGGUGUUCACCGACGGGCUGAGUCUCGAUCAGUCCCGCGGACGGAGGGAGAGAGAGAGUGUUGUGCUGCUGUAAAACGGACCCCCCGCAUACCAAGACGUAUUAUUUUUGUUCACUCUCUUGCCAAUAAACCUGAUGUGUUCAUGUACGAGAGGGGUUCACCGACGGGCUGAGUCACGAUCAGCGCUGCGGACGGAGGUAGAGAGAGAGCGAGAGAGAAGGGUGUGCUGCUGUAAACCGGACCCCGCGCAUACCAAGACAAGCAUUGUUUUUGUUCUCUCUUGCCAAUAAAACUGAUUUGUAACUAAACAGACGAGUGAGCCUUUUUCUGUUCUACCAGUCAUAUCCUUGGAGACUGCAAGGUGACUUGGAAAGGCUGGGUGUGGGCAAAUGUUUGGCAGAUGCAGUAUAAUGUGGAUAAAUGUGAGGUUAUCCAUUUUCGUGGCAAAAACAGGAAAGCAGACUAUUAUCUAAAUGAUGGCCGAUUAGGAAAAGGGGAGAUGCAGCGAGACCUGGGUGUCAUGGUACACCAGUCAUUGAAAGUAGGCAUGCAGGUGCAGCAGGCAGUGAAGAAAGCGAAUGGUAUGUUAGCUUUCAUAGCAAAAGGAUUUGAGUAUAGGAGCAGGGAGGUUCUACUGCAGUUGUACAGGGUCUUGGUGAGACCACACCUGGAGUAUUGCGUACAGUUUUGGUCUCCAAAUCUGAGAAAGGACAUUAUUGCCAUAGAGGGAGUGCAGAGAAGGUUCACCAGACUGAUUCCUGGGAUGUCAGGACUGUCUUAUGAAGAAAGACUGGAUAGACUUGGUUUAUACUCUCUAGAAUUUAGGAGAUUGAGAGGGGAUCUUAUAGAAACUUACAAAAUUCUUAAGGGGUUGGACAGGCUAGAUGCAGGAAGAUUGUUCCCGAUGUUGGGGAAAGUCCAGGACAAGGGGUCACAGCUUAAGGAUAAGGGGGAAAUCCUUUAAAACCGAGAUGAGAAAAACUUUUUUCAAACAGAGAGUGGUGAAUCUCUGGAACUCUGUGCCACAGAGGGUAGUUGAGGCCAGUUCAUUGGCUAUAUUUAAGAGGGA